AUGCUGCAGACCUAUCAGCUGUCAAAACAGCAUUCUCCAGCUUGUGCACAGCUUAAACAAACACACUUCCACCUGCCAAAUUCAAUUGCACAGAGGAACCACCAGCUGACCAGUAUGAAAAGAAAGGAGGAAGCAGAUGUGGAAAAACAGGUAGGUGGAAAUGAUACAUCCAGAAAGACAGUGCCACCCCAGCCCUGCACAAGAAGCCCACAUUGUGAGCAUAGAGAUCUCAGACUGUCCAGUUCCAAAAUGCAAUCUCAAAUGCAGAAAUAAGGAAAAAGCCAUGGAAUCAGUCACCACUAAGAAAGGAAAAAGAAAACUGUAGUCCAGUGAUUCAGACCAGACUUUCAUGAUUGUCAAAGUCAUCUGAAGGAGCACUUACGAUAUUUGGUGGAUUUGAUCAUAAGUAGAAAUGAUAAAAUAUGAGGUAGUUCUGAUGUACCCCUGUUACUGUAAACUCACAGCACAAGGAUCUCUGGAUACCAUCAGUCCACAGCAUCUCCAGAAGAUCCCAGUAAUAUGUUAACAUGAUGGGAUUGCAGAGGUCCUGGGACUUUAUGAGCUUCAUGGCAUAUGCAUUAACCAUGAUGGAAGCCAUCAUUAAGAGUUAUUCUGCAGCUGUAACAAACUCUUAGAAUGGCCAUUGAGAGUCUUUAGUAAUCAUACACAAAUGCUCUUGUAUUCAUGACUUUGUCCCAUUACUCCUUAUGAAAAUGUUUGAAACUGCCUCACAAGUUAACACCAUGAUUUAAUGAAGCAUGAUUUAAUGCUACUUGCCAAGAAAAUGGCCUACAAACAGGUGCAAUGAAAAAUAUAAAAUGAGAGAUAAAAUAGCCAUACAAAACUCAAAGAAAUACUCACUUAUACUCACUGAAAUAUUCAUUUUGACAACACUUUUCAGAAUGUUUUCAAAUCAAAAUGAACUAUAAGUUAUCACUAGACCUCUGAAACAUUUUGUGCCAUAUGUCAACCUCUCCAAAAAAAAUGUCUGUUGACUUUCUACAUGCUAGCAAUUCCAUAAUUUUUUAAUAAUUUUGCUUUUUUAAGACCCAAAAUAAGAUCUUCCAGCUGAGGUUUUCCACCAGUUUUUUUCUAGGAGAAGUUUCAAACUAUAGUAAAGAAAACAUCAACAAACAAGCAGAGCACUCGCAGUGGAAUCUGUACAGGGACUGUAAGCAUGCUAAAAUUAUCUAAUGCAGGAGCUGAUACCUGCCACAGAGCACUAAAUGCCCCUGUCUGGGAAAAAAGAUCAGUUUAGUACCCUGUUGCAUUCCUGCUUCACUAUAGUAUAAUUAAGCAAAAAAGCCAUUACAGCCCUAAUCAGAUACUUGCAGCAAAGCCAGACAUGGUCCUGCUUAGGGGAAAUCCUGUUAGGAAUACUUCUUGAAUAAAGAGUGACACAAAAGAGAUUUGGAAGAAGUU
rnacentral:lncRNA from 1 species